rnacentral:rRNA from 1 species
CACAUGCAAGUCGAGGGGCAGCAUGGUCUUAGCUCGCUAAGGCCUAUGGCGACCGGCGCACGGGUGAGUAACACGUAUCCAACCUGCCGUCUACUCUUGGACAGCCUUCUGAAAGGAAGAUUAAUACAAGAUGGCAUCAUGAGUCCGCAUGUUCACAUGAUUAAAGGUAUUCCGGUAGACGAUGGGGAUGCGUUCCAUUAGAUAGUAGGCGGGGUAACGGCCCACCUAGUCUUCGAUGGAUAGGGGUUCUGAGAGGAAGGUCCCCCACAUUGGAACUGAGACACGGUCCAAACUCCUACGGGAGGCAGCAGUGAGGAAUAUUGGUCAAUGGGCGAGAGCCUGAACCAGCCAAGUAGCGUGAAGGAUGACUGCCCUAUGGGUUGUAAACUUCUUUUAUAAAGGAAUAAAGUCGGGUAUGGAUACCCGUUUGCAUGUACUUUAUGAAUAAGGAUCGGCUAACUCCGUGCCAGCAGCCGCGGUAAUACGGAGGAUCCGAGCGUUAUC